rnacentral:lncRNA from 1 species
UCUGCGCGGGCAGGUGUGAGCGGAGGGUUCCGAAAGCGCAGGCGGGGCGCGGCGGCCGGCACUCUAACAGCAGUUCAUUCGCUCCCCGCGCCUCCCGCCCGGCGUCCGUCAGUCCGCGCGUCCGUCGCUCCACCCGCAGUGUUGCCGGCAUCCCACUGCUCGCCACCACCCGCUCGGAGCCUGAAGCCCCAUUGGAGCCUCCCGCCACGUCUUCGCUCAGGCCUGGUGAUCCUCAGUGAGAAGGUGUUGAGUCCACACGUCCUAUUCCAGCUAAAACUUUUUGGAGAAAACCCCAAAAACUCAACACGCCAAGAGGCAUUCCUGUCAAGGCAGAGACCCUUAAAGAGAGAUGGAGGCUCUGUUUUUUGUGUUGUUUUUUUUAAUUCCAUGAGGGUUUAAAGAGAGAAUGAGUGCAAACUCACUUCUUAUCAGGUAUGAGUGUUUGGACCACAUAUUUAAUUAUU